rnacentral:tRNA from 1 species
UAUUAGGGUGGCAGAGCCAGGUAUAUGCAAAAGGCCUAAAACCUUUACUUCAGAUGUUCAAAUCAUCUCCCUAAUA